rnacentral:rRNA from 1 species
UUGUUGGUAAGGUAAAAGCUUACCAAGGCUUCGAUCAGUAGCUGGUCUGAGAGGACGACCAGCCACACUGGGACUGAGACACGGCCCAGACUCCUACGGGAGGCAGCAGUGGGGAAUUUUGGACAAUGGGGGCAACCCUGAUCCAGCCAUGCCGCGUGAGUGAAGGAGGCCUUCGGGUUGUAAAGCUCUUUCAGCCGGAACGAAACGGUUACGGAUAACACCCGUGACUACUGACGGUACCGGAAGAAGAAGCACCGGCUAACUACGUGCCAGCGGCCGCGGUAAUACGUAGGGUGCGAGCGUUAAUCGGAAUUACUGGGCGUAAAGCGUGCGCAGGUGGUUUUGUAAGUCAGAUGUGAAAGCCCCGGGCUCAACCUGGGAACUGCGUUUGAAACUACAAGACUAGAGUGUGGCAGAGGGGGGUGGAAUUCCGCGUGUAGCAGUGAAAUGCGUAGAGAUGUGGAGGAACACCGAUGGCGAAGGCAGCCCCCUGGGUCAACACUGACGCUCAGGCACGAAAGCAUGGGGAGCAAACAGGAUUAGAUACCCUGGUAGUCCAUGCCCUAAACGAUGUCAACUAGUUGUCGGGCCUUUACGGGCUUGGUAACGUAGCUAACGCGUGAAGUUGACCGCCUGGGGAGUACGAUCGCAAGAUUAAAACUCAAAUGAAUUGACGGGGACCCGCACAAGCGGUGGAUUAUGUGGAUUAAUUCGAUGCAACGCGAAAAACCUUACCUACCCUUGACAUGUAUCGAAGCCCGCAGAAAAGCGGGGGUGCCCGAAAGGGAACGAUAACACAGGUGCUGCAUGGCUGUCGUCAGCUCGUGUCGUGAGAUGUUGGGUUAAGUCCCGCAACGAGCGCAACCCUUGUCAUUAAUUGCCAUCAUUUAGUUGGGCACUUUAAUGAGACUGCCGG